rnacentral:lncRNA from 1 species
AAACAAUGCCUCAACUGCCUCGCUUGUAAAGAUAAGCCAACCUACAGCUCAUCACCUAAUCAGCUAAUGAACUUAUCUUGCCUAUUGAUUUAUCAGCUUAUCAGCCAUUUCUGUUACACCAACAACACCAGAUUGUGCUGCAGAAAUUCUGUUAUUAAUGGAUUCCAGCCACAGCCCAUGAUUCAAGGAAAUUGCUACAGCUGUGUAUUCUAGAAUACUCUUGUAACUUAUUCUCCAAGCUCAAUAACGUGUAUAAAUUCCCUUCAACUGAAGCUGCUGUAAAUUGUGUAUUGAAAAUACAAGUAAAUAUAGAUUACAAUUUCAACUUGGUAUCAGAGCCUACAAUGGCCAACGUCAAUGAUACACCACUAAAUACCAAUUCCAAUCCUUCUCCAUCAUCAGAAUCAAGCACAAUGGUGCCUCCAGUGCAGGGAAGCAACCAUUUCUCAUCAUCUGGUGUCUACCUAACUCAAAUGUUGUCUGUCAAGCUUGACAAGAACAACUUUCUGCUAUGGCAAAACAUGAUACUCCCUAUUAUAAGAGGACAUAAUCUGGAUGGAUACAUUCUGGGGACAAAGGUGUGUCCUCCAGAAUUCAUUGGUACCAAAAUCUCUGGAGAUGCAGGAAUGAUGGUUGAGAUGAAAAAGAAUCCUGAAUAUGAUCAGUGGAUGUCAACAGAUCAGCUGCUAAUGGGGUGGCUUUACUCAUCAAUGACCCCUGAAAUAGCUAUGAGGGUCAUGGGCUGCAGCAACUCCAGCAAAUUGUGGGCUGCAUUAAAAGAGAGCUAUGGCAUCCAAAACAAAUCCAGAAUAACAUUUCUCACUGGGGAACUUCAGAAAUCAAGGAAGGGAACAUUGAGCAUCGAUCAAUACCUCAGCAAAGUAAAACUUCUGGCAGACAACCUUGAGAUUGCUGGAAAAACCAUCCCUCACUCGGAUCUUGUAACUUAGGUCCUGGCUGGUUUGGAUGAAGAAUACACACCCAUUGUUGUUCAAAUCAAUGGCAGAGACUCCAUCUCUUGGGGAGAACUCCAAUCAACACUCAUGACUUAUGAAAGCAGACUUGAACAUCUCAAUUUGGUGAAAAAUGAAAUGGCAGAAAUUAACCUCAAUCAAACAUCAAUCAAUUUUACCCAAAAACCAGGAUUAAGCAACCAUCACUUCAGAGCCUACAGGCCAAAUAAUG